AUAAAUCAUGGUUUAAAGUAAAUUAAUUUAAAUUUUAUUUUAUCAACAACUCUACUCAGGUCUACAUUUCGUAGUUGUACAUUUUGGCUUAUUUGAUACCCAAAACGAGAAAAUUCUAAAACCCAGAUUCUACACGUUUCGCUGCUACAAUGAAUUCAAAACACGGAUCUUUAGUACCUGAAGUGGGUGUAUUGGAAUUGGGGGGGGGGCACGGUGACGUGGCGAUGAUAGGAAUAGGAUACGGAUGACCACGUCAUCCAGCUGUGCUGGCACUUGAUUCAAAUCACCAAGUGGCUGAGGAGGC
rnacentral:lncRNA from 1 species